rnacentral:lncRNA from 1 species
CUUUUUUUUUUUUUUUUUUUUUUGGUGGCUACAUCUUUUCUGUAUUCUCAGAUAUGUCGUUAAAGAUGGUGCCACCUAUAGUGGCCAUUUUCGUUAUCUAAACAAAACCAACAUCUGUUGGAUUGAAAAACUAUGCUAUGAUCGACUGCUUUAUGUGUGUAUGUUUUUUUUUUUUUUCAAAUCCCUUAAGAUUCUUUUCUAUAAUUAGUUUUCUUUGAAGAAGCUUGGAAAGUUUUCUGCAUUGAGAUUUAGAAUCCACAGUGUUUCUGUAAUUUAGCUUUCCAGGAAUUUUGAAUUUUAAUUUUUGUUUUUACUUUUUAUGUACACAGUAUAAUGAUGUUAGUGUUAAAUAUUAAAAAUCUGACUCUUCACUGGGACUUUUUUAUAGAUACAAAUGUAUCUGUGGUAGUACAAGGACUUUGUUACUUUGGCGUGCAGUCUUAUCAAGGAGUUGUGUGUGUGUUUUGCAUACAACUUUACAAUUUCAUAGUUGAAAGCUGUUACAAAAUGAAAGUUUUGUGUAUGGUAGGAUAUCUUCAAGGUGGGUGGAUGUUUUCUGUUUAAAAGAUUAAGAUGCCAACAGCGUUUUUUUCUUUUAAUUUUUUCAUCAAGCACCCAGUCAGCUUGAAGAGUUUCAAAUGGACCCUACCACUGAGAAAUCAAGAUGGCAGUCUACUAUGGGGAAUUGAGGAAAAAUGGAUUAAUACAAGAGUCCUGUGAUAAUAUACAACCAAGACAGGGUUCUUUUAACAUGGAUUCCAUGCAGUGAAUGAAGACAUAGGUUUCUUACCCAACACAAAUGGACAGUGGAUUUGACUUUCUAAAGACUUUUUUUGUGGACAUUUUGACAUUUGGAGAAGAAAGAUGGCACACUAACCCAGAUAAUAGUUUUUAUGCCUGGAAUUUUUUGCAGUUUGAUUUGUAUGCGUAUGACCUCUUGAAAUGUUAAUUUUUAAUAAAAUUUGUAACACUUAAAAA